rnacentral:lncRNA from 12 species
UAAUGUUAAUGAGGCUCAUUGGAUUGCAAAAUUAAACCCCAGCCCAGAGGCUUGGGCUUGGUGAAGAAGGAAAGAGGCUCUCUACGGACAGACAUGAAACAGAAUUUGACUCACAGUCUGAGAGCUACAUGAUUUCUCUUGGCUCCAGUAGAGUCAUCUUGUAUGUGGGGAUCACAGGUCAUGUUCUGGGCUCCACUCUCUAAAUGAUAAAUAAUGCUAUUGUGACUCCGGCUGUCAUCUCAUUCUGCCAGAGAUGGAAACUUCUGUGACUGUGUAUCUAUUGCUUGAUAUCCUGAGGGUCCUGAUUAGCUGAAGGUAAUUCACUGUUUAAGAGAACUGUCAGUCCCAAGGCCUUUGUUACUUACGGAUCCAUUAUAAAGGAACAUGCAGCCCAAUACGUGAGAAUGCAGAACCAAAUUCCUGUGCUUUUGCUGAACUGUAGCCCACUUUCCUGGGCCAGGACCCAAUCUACAGCCACACAAUUCCUAUCCAACCUAGUACCCAAGGAAGGAAAUACACUACAAUACUGGGUGAUAAGAGGAGGACCAACAUUUCCCCUAUUUCCUAUAUGCCUACGUUCUCCUGGCGGUCAGAGGCCGGUCAUAGGCCGUAACCUGAGCAGUUUCAAAGCUCCCAGUGAAGUGAAACAACAACAACAACAACAACAACAACAACAACAACAACGUUGUGAUGUUGUAACCAUAAGAAAUGGAGUGGUGCGCGUGUCCUUUAUUGCUUUUCUCGUUUGCUACAUAGUUCAAAGAAUAUGA